rnacentral:lncRNA from 1 species
AUGAGGAUGUAUCUCCAGCAAUGUAUCAUGAGAUGGAUGUCAAACAGAAGCAGCAAGGAGUUAGAGGGGAAUUCUGAGGCAUCCGCCCCAUCUUGGUCUGCUCUGGCUGCAGUAACUCCUUCAGACUAUAAACAAACCUUACUUCUUACACUCUGGAGGCUGGGAAUCCAAGAUCAAGGUGCCACGAGUGUUAACAGCCCACUUCUUGUUCACAGAUGUCCAUCUUCACACUGUAAUCUCGGGUUGUGUAAUCGCAGAGGGAACUCUCUGAGCAGUGCUAACAAUAAUCCCCAAAGAUACAAGUCUGGACUAUUGAAAUAUGACACAAUAAAAUCUCAGAGUUUAAAGACCUGAAAAUCACAUUCAUGGAAAAUUAAAAUUCCAAAUGCUAAAAUCCUGAAAAUCAAAAUAUUUUAAUCUAGCUGUGGGAAUUGUACAUGUGUGUUUUUAUAUUUUUCUCUGUUGCACUACUUUUAACUUGUCAAUAUUAUUUUUAUAAUUCCCCAUGCUAUUUAUUUCAUCAUGUAUCUCAUGUUUUCAUCAUUUCUACUGAAGAAAUACAAACCAUAUCGCUUAGUUCUAAAUUGUUUUGUACAUUUUGUGCAAAUUUGAUUCAUUUAAUAUUCACUUUCAUACCAUUGUGCACAUACACAGAAUUGUUGAAGCUUCCUGAAUAAGUAAAGACAUCUUUACUGUUCUGAUAUCAGCUUUCUAGGCAACUGUGUGUGAAAUGGUGAUCCACCUCAGGUUUUAACUGAACUUGCCAAAAGACAUAAAUUGUGAGUCGUGGUAUUUCAGAUGAUUGCAGUCAGAAAGCUGGGUGCACAUGAUUACUGCUGUAGUGAUAUGCACUCAUGUAUUUUGUUUUUUGACCUCUUUCUUUAUUAGGCACUUUGGUAUUUUGUUUAAUUUUCAUGAGGCUGUGGGGAUCACUGUAAUCUUUUUAAAUAUAAAAAUGGGGGUAGACAUCUGGCAGAGCAAAGGUGAUUCUUGGAAGCCUACACCCCUUACGGGAGGGUCUGGGUUCCAAUCCUGCCUCUUCAAUCCAGCUUCCAGCUGGUGCAAUGGAUAGCAACUCAAGUACCUGUGUCCUUACCUCUCAUGUGGAAGAUCCAGAUUGAACUUUAAGUUCCUGAUUUUAGCCUUACCCAGCUCUGCCUGUUUUGGGCGUUUGGGCAGUAAACCAGUGAAUCUCUCUCUCUCUCUCUCUCUUUCCUUUCUUCCUCCUUCCUUCCAAAUUUCUCUCUCUCAUAGUAAUCUCUUUAUCUCUCUGCCUUGGAUUAAAUAAAUAAAUAUUUUUUAAAAAGAAACA